UCCACGCCGUAAACGAUGUCGACUUGGAGGUUGUUCCCUUGAGGAGUGGCUUCCGGAGCUAACGCGUUAAGUCGACCGCCUGGGGAGUACGGCCGCAAGGUUAAAACUCAAAUGAAUUGACGGGGGCCCGCACAAGCGGUGGAGCAUGUGGUUUAAUUCGAUGCAACGCGAAGAACCUUACCUACUCUUGACAUCCACGGAAUUCGGCAGAGAUGCCUUAGUGCCUUCGGGAACCGUGAGACAGGUGCUGCAUGGCUGUCGUCAGCUCGUGUUGUGAAAUGUUGGGUUAAGUCCCGCAACGAGCGCAACCCUUAUCCUUUGUUGCCAGCGAUUCGGUCGGGAACUCAAAGGAGACUGCCGGUGAUAAACCGGAGGAAGGUGGGGAUGACGUCAAGUCAUCAUGGCCCUUACGAGUAGGGCUACACACGUGCUACAAUGGCGCAUACAAAGAGAAGCGACCUCGCGAGAGCAAGCGGACCUCACAAAGUGCGUCGUAGUCCGGAUCGGAGUCUGCAACUCGACUCCGUGAAGUCGGAAUCGCUAGUAAUCGUGGAUCAGAAUGCCACGGUGAAUACGUUCCCGGGCCUUGUACACACCGCCCGUCACACCAUGGGAGUGGGUUGCAAAAGAAGUAGGUAGCUUAACCUUCGGGAGGGCGCUUACCACUUUGUGAUUCAUGACUGG
rnacentral:rRNA from 1 species